rnacentral:lncRNA from 10 species
GUAACUAACCUGCACAAUGUGCACAUGUACCCUAAAACUUAAAGUAUAAUAAAAAAAAAUAAAAAAAAUAAAAAUAAAAAAGAAAAUAUGGGAAAGGCUAAAAAAAAGAGGAUUACCAGAGUAAACAUAAAGAAAAAAAAAUGGAAGUAAGAACAGAAAUAAUACACAGGAAAGAAAGAAAAAAAGGAAUAAAUACAUAUAUAACAGAAAUUUUUAUGAAACAACCAUACUUCUGAAAUCCUGUAUAAAACUGAUAUAUUUUUAGAAAAAUAUAAAGUGCCAAGAUUGGCACAUGAAAAAUUAAAAAAUUUAAAUAGAUUGGUAAUCUUUUUUAAUGAAAUGGUAACCAAAACCUUCUGCUAUUCUAAAAAUUCACGAACCUAGACAAUUUUCCAGAUAACACAAUAAAAUAGUAUUUUAAAGAAAUUUUUUAAGAUUUCAUUUUUUAAGAAAUAAAUAUUCUAAUUUAAACAAGUUGUUUUUUAAAAAAAUUUUAAAAGGUGGAAGUACCCUAUUCACUUUAUUUUUAAUAUAUACUUGAUACCAAAACCAGAUGGCAAUGUGAGAAAAUAAAAACAUAAGCCAAUUUUAAUUUUUAAAAUAGAUGCAAUAUUCACACAAAUGUUGGCACAAAAAUGUUUAUAGCAACUUUAUUCAUAAUUGCCAAAACCGGAAGCAACCAAGAUAUCCUUCAAUAGGUAAAUGGAUAAACAUACUAUUAUUACACACUCAUAUAAUGGAAUGCUAGUCAGUGAUAGAAAGGAACAGUUUAUUAAUCCAUACGACAUCAGUGACUCUUACAUACAUAUUCCUAAAUGAAUGCAGCCAGUAUGUAAGACUCCAUACUGCAUGAUUCCAUUUAUAUAACAUUCCAGAAAAGGCAAACUGAUGUAUAAAGAAAACAAAUCAAUGGAUACCAAGGAUUUCUGGAAGGGAAGAGUUGACUAGGGGAAGCACAGGGAUUUUUUAGGGCAGUGAAACUGUACAGUAUUUAACCAUAGUGGUGGAUUCAUACCACCAUAUAUUUGCUGAAACCCCAAAAUAGAUUUUAACAGCCCAAAAAGUAAGCCUUAUUUUUAAAAAAAAUUAAUUAAAGCAUUGGGGGAAUCACAGGAUGAAAUUCAGACAAAGACAAAAGUAUAUAAUUGUACUACAGAGGUAUGGCAUAACCUCUCUGAAGAGAGUGGCCAAAUAAUAAUAAUAAUAAUAAUAAUAAUAAUGCUGACCUAAGUAACUUUAGAAAUGACUGGGAAGUAUAAGACUACAAACACAAGCACUGUCCUUUAGUUGGCCAAGUUGUUUCUCACAGAAGGAUGGGUUAACAAUUCUAAAACUACUGUACAUAUAUACUAGGAUUAAACAAAUUAGUACAACAAUGUUGGAUGGCGGAACCAGGUUUCUCACUGUUGGAGAGUGACAUAACAGGCUAGCAUAGGCAGAAGACUAUAAUGAAUCAUGUGGGCUGGGUUAGGGUUGGAAAUAUCACUAUAAGCUCAUAUUUAGCUUAAUACUAAUACAGAUAGAAAUAAUUAUAGAGAUAGAAAUACACACACAUGUACACACGCAUACACACACAGCUUAAUAUACAUACAUGUAUUUUUUAACUGUCUGUGGAAAGGGCCUGGAAGCAAUUAUACCCAGUAGCAAUGAUCAUAUCCAGUUCUCAGAUUUUGGUUUCUAUCAUCAUCCUCCAAUAAAAGGAACUAGGGAUCUGUACUAGUCUAUUUGUAUUGCUAUAAAGGAAUACCUGAGCUGGGUAAUCUAUAAAGAAAAGAGUUUUUUUUGGCUCACAGUUCUGCAGGCUGUACAAGCAUGGCACUAGCGUUGCUUCUGCUGAAGCCCUCAGGAAACUUCCACUCAUGGCAGAAGGCAAAGGGAGCAGGCAUGCCACAUGGUAAGAGAGGGAACAACAGAGAUUCGAGGCUCUUUCAAACAAUCAGCUGUCUCAUGAACUAAUAGGGUGAGAACUCAUUAAUGCAGGGAGGACGCUUCAUGAGGGAUCUGGCCCCGUGACUCAGACACCUUCCACUAGGCCUCACCUCCAACACUGGGGAUUGUAUUUCAAUGUAAGAUUUGGAGGGGACAAGGAUCCAAACCAUACAUGUAACCUUGAGAAAAUGGCUGAUUCUAGGACUACAGUAGAGAAUAUACAAGAUACAUCUGAAGCAUCGUAUAGUACCAGAAAGUCACACACAAUGAUAGGAGUAUGUCAAAAGGACAUAAGAGCCCAUUAAAAGAGCUUGCAAAGAUCAAAGUUGGAAUAAUUUGAGCAACAACACAAAUAAAAGAGUACUGGAUUAUAAGCCAAACUAUAAACUAGAAAUUUAUGGAUCCAUAACAAUAUACAUAAGAAUCAAAUAAAGAAAUGAGGGAGAAGAGACAAAUCUACCAUACAAAGGAAUUCCAAAUAAUGUAUGUAGAUACUGCCUAUUAAGGAAAUGGAGACGGACUCCCCACCCCUUGAGUGUGGACUGUGCUUAGUGACUUGAUUCCAAAGAGUAUGGUAUGAAAAGGAGGGAAGAGAAAAUAAUUUUUUAGUGCAGAAGCUUGGCAAAUACUACCUCAGCCGGGUGAGCAAGGUUAAUAUCAUCAGCUAUGUCAUGUUGAUAGUAUAUACGCUUAAUAUAAGGGGAUAAGAAUGACACUUCACCUCUUUGGUCUUCCUCCUAAAAAAUCAUAAGCCCAAUCUAACCAUGAGAAAACACCAGAUGAUUGGUAUCACAUUCCAUAAAAUACCUGACCAAUAUUCCUCAUAACAAUCAACGUCAUCAAAAACAAGUUAUGUCAUAGUCCAGGAGAAAUUAAGGAGACAUGAAAACUAAAUAGAAUGUGGAAUUAUGAGUGGGAUUCUAGAACAAUAAAAGGAUAUUAAGAAAAACUAAUGAAAUGCAAAUAUAGUAUGGAGUUUAGUUAACAGCAAUGUGUCAAUAUGGGUUCAUUAGUUGUGACAAAAGCGCCCUACUAAUGUAAGCUAUUGACAAUGGGAAAGAUUGGGUGUGGUGUGUACAGGCGCUCUCUGUACUUUCUGUGCAAGUCUUCUGUAAAUACAAAACUAUUCUAAGAUAAAAUACUUAUUUAAAUAUAGAUUUUAAAAAUCUAAAAUAAAAUAUUGGCUACCAAAUCUUAAAGCAUAAUACAAAAUAAUCAUCAUGAUUCCUGACCUAUCAAAAAAAUUGAUUAAUAAUUUUAUAACAUUAAAAGACCAUCGAGAAAAAUCUUAAGAUACAGAUGUUGAUAUUUAUAGCAGCACUACCUGUCAUAGCCAGGAGCUGAAGACAACCUAGGUGUUCAAUAUUGAGAUAAUGAAUAGAUAUAAAGUGGCCUCGCAUAGAAUGAAAUAUUACACAACAUUUAGAAAUAAUGAACCUAGAUGCAUAUUGAAAAAGGCAUAGGUUUAAAAAAAUUCAGUCUUCAAUGAAAAAAGUAAACAAAAUUAUAUUUACUCUUUAUACAUCUAUUUAUUUAAAAACAUAAACAAUAGGUACAUUUUCAAUGGUUUACAAGCACUCUAUGCCCCAGGUACUAAUCAAUUUUAUACUAUAUAUAUAUAUAUAUAUAUAUUAAUCUAUUUAAUUCAGUGAAUAAUCAUACACAGAUUAAGAAACUGAGGUACAGAGAAGCUAAACAGCUUGCCUCAGGUCACACAAUGCAGUCUGGCAGGGUGAGGAGUUGAGCCUGGUCUCCUAAACCUGCAUUCUUAAACAGCGUGCUCUACCACCUCUUCUGUGACAGGUGGUUUAGAGGGCACAUAUCAAAUAUACCAUUGUGGUGGUAAUUGAGGAGGGGGAAGAGAUGGUAAAGGUGGAGAGAAAGAACAAAAAGAGCAAGUAGUAAAAUAUAGCAAAACCUAAAGGGCACCUACGAAGACUGAUGAUGAGAGUGAACUAGACUGAGGAGCAUGAUUACUUUAAAUCAUACAUCUGAUGUUUGAAAAAUAUAAAGUGCUGACAUUAGCCAGAAAUGUCUGAUUACUCUUCAAUCUUAGAUAACCAAACAUUUUAGAUACAUGACUUUUUACUAAAUCAGCACCUUUUUAGGCCAGAAAUGUCUAGCCUAGCAGACUCAUGAGUAUUUGCCUGAAGGACCUGAAGACAACUCCCAGAUCCCUCAGCUCUGAAGACCUACUCAUCCCUUGCUUAGACUGUUGCCCCAAACCACAUAUUUCUGAUUUGUGCUUGAAGUUAUUGACUGGACUUUCUCCCAAUGCCUGAGGCCAGUUUACCAUCCAGCACCCACUCCUCACCUAGUGAAAAUGCCUAUUUAUUUUUCUUUUACUCUUUUUUGCCCCUCGGUCCUGGCAUUUAGACCCUAUAUCACACACAGUUGGCCUCAUGUCUAUCCUGUAUCUGUCCAUCCAUCUGCCCAAGCAUGUAUUCAUUCAACAGACACUGAGUCUUUGCCAUGUGCUAUGCACUGCACCGGCAACCAAGGGCACCAAUCGUGACAACAAAAAUCUCACAGUUCAAAAAGGAAGACACAAUUUUAAAAAUAAAUGAAUGCAAUAAAAUGAAAUUUAAUUAACUGGAUUAUCACCAGUAUUAAUAAAAUAACGUAUAUAAAUAGCUUAACAUGUUUGUAAAAAGUCCUGUAGUCAAUUUUUAAUAGCUACAUCAACGUGCACAGAGCUUCCCAGAGGAGGGCAUCCACUUAAAUGUGGGCCAUUCAUUUAUUCAUUCAGUAAAGUCAGGCACUGUGAAAGGUGUUUGUGUAGAGUCAGCUAACUGAGCACCUAAAAGCUGCACUCCUGUUUCCAAAGUAUUGAAACAGCUUUCAAUGAGAAGUGGUUGGCCAACCUGAGAUCAUAUUUACCAUCAUCUCUUGCUUUCAGAUGAGGCCAUGAAUAUUUGUUUGAGCGAUCUUAGCCACUGUAGCAAGGCCAUUCCAACAUUUUGUUGACAAACACAAUAAAAGUUUAUUCCAGUUCACCUGCAGUAAAAUGCAGGUAGUCUUGAUAAAUGAGGAAGGAAGCAUUCUAUACAGUCAUUCAGAACCCCAGGUUCCUUUAUUUAGGGGUUCUUCCAUGUCCCAGGGCCUUCCGCUGUAAGCAAAUAAGAGGGUAAAAAACUAUACCCACUUUUAACCAUUUUGGCUCAGGUGUGACGUACAUCACUUUCAUUCACUUGUUGUUAGUGAGUACUUGUAAUAUGGUUUCUGCGUUACACAAGAGGGGAUUUUGUAGUACCUGCCUGGACAGCUGCUUUCCAAAGACAACUCCACAUAGUUAAAAAAAAAAACAUGAAUUUUUAAAGAUAUGUGACCAGUUCUCAGCAAUGAAAUGCAAGAAGUACAGAGCAUCACUUAUGAAAAUGGCAGCCAGUGUGCCAUUUCCCCCCUUUUCUCUUUGUUCUAGAGAAGGUUCCUCAAGAAUCAUUGAGCAAAAAAUUGGAGCCCUGAUCGCCAAAUCACCACAUGGAAAAAAAUCCUACCACCUACAGGAAUGCUUCCUUGGACUAUAUUCAGAUCGAGAGACAAGUUUCUCCUAAGCUUAUCUACUAAUGUAUUGGCAUUUGUUUGUUACUGCAACUAGAAUUGCCCUAAUUAAUAAACUAUUACAACUCAUUAAUAAAAACUCUAUAAAUAGUAACUCAAUAGAUGACUCCACACCUUGCAUGGCCCAGAGUUGGAGUGCAAUAAAUAUUUUAUACUUGCCUGUUUGCAAUUUCUUUAAUGUCUUUUUGAGAAUGCGGUAGCCUCUUUCUGGUUAAAUUACUCUCCACACAUUUUUUUCUCCCAAGACCCUCAGGAUGUCGACUGCGGCCCUGCCGCUGCUCAUACUAAUGUGAAAAGAACAACUUUAUGAUACCCAUUCAGUGUCAGGGGUAUUAAAACAAAACAAAAAACCUGAUACUUUCUCUACAGCACACUUCCCUACUUGCCUACACAUUUUUGAGACCUUUUCUUCUCUCACUCUUCUUUACGGUAUGAAAAGAUAGCCUGCUCUCGAAUCACAUCAAUUUGAAUUAAUCUACACAGCUGUCUUCUUUAAAUGAAGUACAAAUGUUUACCAUUGUAAAAGGCAUGAAUUAUUAAAACUUUAAGAA